rnacentral:rRNA from 1 species
UGGGGAAUAUUGCGCAAUGGGGGGAACCCUGACGCAGCCAUGCCGCGUGAAUGAAGAAGGCCUUCGGGUUGUAAAGUUCUUUCGGUAUUGAGGAAGGUUGAUGUGUUAAUAGCACAUCAAAUUGACGUUAAAUACAGAAGAAGCACCGGCUAACUCCGUGCCUGCAGCCGCGGUAAUACGGAGGGUGCGAGCGUUAAUCGGAAUAACUGGGCGUAAAGGGCACGCAGGCGGUUAUUUAAGUGAGGUGUGAAAGCCCUGGGCUUAACCUAGGAAUUGCAUUUCAGACUGGGUAACUAGAGUACUUUAGGGAGGGGUAGAAUUCCACGUGUAGCGGUGAAAUGCGUAGAGAUGUGGAGGAAUACCGAAGGCGAAGGCAGCCCCUUGGGAAUGUACUGACGCUCAUGUGCGAAAGCGUGGGGAGCAAACAGGAUUAGAUACCCUGGUAGUCCACGCUGUAAACGCUGUCGAUUUGGGGGUUGGGGUUUAACUCUGGCGCCCGUAGCUAACGUGAUAAAUCGACCGCCUGGGGAGUACGGCCGCAAGGUUA